rnacentral:tRNA from 1 species
GGAGAGAUGCCGGAGUGGUCGAUCGGUCCGGUUUCGAAAACCGGUGUACGCUUAUGCGUACCGUGGGUUCGAAUCCCACUCUCUCCGCCA